GGAGAGGGAGCCUGAGAAACGGCUACCACAUCUAAGGAAGGCAGCAGGCGCGUAAAUUACCCACUCCCAGUUCGGGGAGGUAGUGACGAAAAAUAACAAUACAGGACUCAUAUCCGAGGCCCUGUAAUUGGAAUGAGUACACUUUAAAUCCUUUAACAAGGACCAAUUGGAGGGCAAGUCUGGUGCCAGCAGCCGCGGUAAUUCCAGCUCCAAUAGCGUAUAUUAAAGUUGUUGCGGUUAAAACGUUCGUAGUUGAAUUUGUGCUUCAUACGGGUAGUACAACUACAAUUGUGGAUUGUACAUUACUUUAUGUAUGCAAGCGUAUUACCGGUGGAGUUCUAAUAUAUAAUGGUACUUGUAUCAUUGUGUAUACCUCCUAUUUAAACCUGCUUCAGUGCUCUUCAUCGAGUGCUGUUGUGGGCCGGUACAGUUACUUUGAACAAAUUAGAGUGCUUAAAGCAGGCUCCAAAUGCCUGAAUAUUUUGUGCAUGGAAUAAUGAAAUAAGACUUCUGAUCUACUUUCAUUGGUUUUUAGAUCAAGAGGUAAUGAUUAAUAGAAGCAGUUUGGGGGCAUUAGUAUUACGACGCGAGAGGUGAAAUUCUUGGACCGUCGUAAGACUAACUUAAGCGAAAGCAUUUGCCAAAGAUGUUUUCAUUAAUCAAGAACGAAAGUUAGAGGU
rnacentral:rRNA from 1 species